AGUGGCGCACGGGUGAGUAACACGUGACUAACCUACCCUUGAGUGGGGAAUAACUUCGGGAAACCGAGGCUAAUACCGCAUAACACCUACGGGUCAAAGGAGCAAUUCGCUUAAGGAGGGGGUCGCGGCAGAUUAGUUAGUUGGCAGGGUAAUGGCCUACCAAGACGGUGAUCUGUAUCCGGCCUGAGAGGGCGCACGGACACACUGGAACUGAAACACGGUCCAAACUCCUACGGGAGGCAGCAGUGGGGAAUUUUGCGCAAUGGGGGAAACCCUGACGCACCAACGCCGCGUGGAGGAUGAAGUCCCUUGGGACGUAAACUCCUUUCUAUCGGGACGAUUAUGACGGUACCGGAAGAAGAAGCCCCGGCUAACUUCGUGCCAGCAGCCGCGGUAAUACGAGGGGGGCGAGCGUUGUUCGGAAUUAUUGGGCGUAAAGGGCGCGUAGGCGGUCGGAUAAGUCUUGUGUGAAAUCUUCGGGCUCAACUCGAAGUCUGCACAGGA
rnacentral:rRNA from 1 species